UACGGGGGGGGCAAGCGUUGUUCGGAAUUACUGGGCGUAAAGGGCGCGUAGGCGGCCUGCUAAGUCGGAUGUGAAAUCCCUCGGCUCAACCGAGGAACUGCAUCCGAUACUGGCGGGCUUGAAUCCGGGAGAGGGAUGUGGAAUUCCAGGUGUAGCGGUGAAAUGCGUAGAUAUCAGGAAGAACACCUAUGGCGAAGGCAGCACUCUGGGACGGUACUGACGCUGAGACGCGAAAGCGUGGGGAGCGAACAGG
rnacentral:rRNA from 1 species